CAAACAAAAUUUCAUUUCUUUCUUUCCUUCUUUGAUGCUCUCGGCCGAAUACCAUAGUCCACCCACCAACACUUUCAAUUUUCCAUCUUGCCAUCCCACAUACAUAUCAAGGUGCUAGAGUUCACAUAAGGAGACCCGGUGCUUACGGAAUCGCAAGGACCUCACCACAACGCCAUUAACCACCUAUUUUUCGUCUAGUUUCUUCCCUAGCCUCGAGCUAGUAGUUACGACGUUAAAUAAGCAAACCCGGUGAAGUUUACGACGCACAGGAACGCAAAGUUAAUAUACCAAUUAAAUGCCUAAGGUAACUAGGAUGGAUGUGCGCGUGGUCUCACUUAUGCUCGUGGAUGUCGCUUGUGUUUGUCUUUAAAUAAAGUGUAAACCUUUUAAGACAAUGUUUUAUGUUAACUCGCGAUGUAAACGCUAACUUAUGAUUUCAAAUUAUGGUAUUUGAAGUUAUUUUC
rnacentral:lncRNA from 1 species